GCCCAAAGGGCUGCCCUGUUUCUUGGUGCGGCGCUGUAGCUCUAGCCUCUAGGGUUCGCCUCCAGAUUAGCUGAAUGAGGGUAUAUUUACUAUAUACUAAAGCUCCUACACUGUUCCUAAGCACUGUUCAUCACUGUUCCUAAGCACUGUUCAUCACUGUUCACAUCUGCCAUCGUUCUGCCAGACGCUACCGUCGGUUUCUUCUUUCUUCUACAGCAGUAUAACCGUAUAACCACGAUUGCUCUCUCAAUUUGGAUCUCCGCCGUGAAUCCGACUCUCAGCUCUCCCAUAUCAAUAUCGUCGACGAACAGAAAGUGAUAGAGAUAGAUUGAGAGAGAGAGAGAGACGGAGGUUUUCUGUGUCUUUUGGGUCUUCUCACUCUUCUGCGAGAGAGAGAGAGAGAGGAAGUGAAGGCUAAUUCCAGGGAGAGGAAGAACAGGAAACAGGAAGAGGAAGAAGAAUUUGAUACACCAAGUUCAUGCUGGGAAUAUGUGAGAAUUGAAUUUCAGAAUUUGCUUUUUUUUUUUUCUCUGUUUGAUGAAAGCUCUGUGGGUUUUGAAGAAGAAAGAAGAACAAGAAUAUAGGAGCUUGAAAUUCUUCACUGAUUGGUAAGGUGCAUCAAUAUGUGAUGGAAGAGAAAUCCUUUUAAAGGAAGCUUGCUGAUCAGUAUACUGUCAUUGCAGAUUUGUAGGAGACUAUUUUGAGCUACAAAUUAAGUGCAAUCACAACAGUGAAGUGGUCUGCUCAUUAUUUUCUUUUAGUAGUAAUGAAAGUAUGAUAUGUAAGUAUAAAUAUUGACGUGAUACAAUGAAAUUCAAGAGACUCAACUAUAACAUACAAAUUUGAGACAAAAGAAAACCCGCAGCAUCGCGCGGGAGAAUAA